ACGGGAGGCAGCAGUGGGGAAUAUUGCACAAUGGGCGAAAGCCUGAUGCAGCGACGCCGCGUGAGUGAUGAAGUAUUUCGGUAUGUAAAGCUCUAUCAGCAGGGAAGAUAAUGACGGUACCUGACUAAGAGGCACCGGCUAAAUACGUGCCAGCAGCCGCGGUAAUACGUAUGGUGCAAGCGUUAUCCGGAUUUACUGGGUGUAAAGGGAGCGCAGGCGGUACGGCAAGUCUGAUGUGAAAGCCCGGGGCUCAACCCCGGUACUGCAUUGGAAACUGUCGAACUAGAGUGUCGGAGGGGUAAGUGGAAUUCCUAGUGUAGCGGUGAAAUGCGUAGAUAUUAGGAGGAACACCAGUGGCGAAGGCGGCUUACUGGACGGUAACUGACGUUGAGGCUCGAAAGCGUGGGGAGCAAACAGGAUUAGAUACCCUGGUA
rnacentral:rRNA from 1 species